rnacentral:rRNA from 1 species
AGUUUGAUCCUGGCUCAGGAUGAACGCUAGCGGCAGGCUUAAUACAUGCAAGUCGUGGGGCAGCAGGACUGUAGCAAUACAGUUGCUGGCGACCGGCAAACGGGUGCGGAACACGUACGCAACUUACCCUUAAGUGGGGGAUAGCCCGGGGAAACCCGGAUUAAUACCUCGUAACACUGAGGAGUGGCAUCACUCUUUAGUUAUAGCUCCGGCGCUUAAGGAUGGGCGUGCGUCCCAUUAGGUAGUUGGUAGGGUAAUGGCCUACCAAGCCUGCGAUGGGUAACUGGUGUGAGAGCACGACCAGUCACACGGGCACUGAGACACGGGCCCGACUCCUACGGGAGGCAGCAGUAAGGAAUAUUGGUCAAUGGACGCAAGUCUGAACCAGCCAUGCCGCGUGGAGGAUGAAGGCCCUCUGGGUUGUAAACUUCUUUUAUGUGGGACGAAACCCUGGAUUUUCAUCCAGCCUGACGGUACCACAGGAAUAAGCACCGGCUAACUCCGUGCCAGCAGCCGCGGUAAUACGGAGGGUGCAAGCGUUAUCCGGAUUCACUGGGUUUAAAGGGUGCGUAGGCGGGCAAGUAAGUCAGUGGUGAAAUCCUGGAGCUCAACUCCAGAACUGCCGUUGAUACUAUUUGUCUUGAAUACCCGGGAGGUGAGCGGAAUAUGUCAUGUAGCGGUGAAAUGCUUAGAUAUGACAUAGAACACCGAUUGCGAAAGGCAGCUCACUACAGGGUCAUUGACGCUGAGGCACGAAAGCGUGGGGAUCAAACAGGAUUAGAUACCCUGGUAGUCCACGCCCUAAACGAUGGAUACUCGACGUAUGCGAUAUGACUGCAUGCGUCUGAUCCCA